rnacentral:rRNA from 1 species
AGAACCUACCUUCAGAAUGGGGACAACAGUUGGAAACGACUGCUAAUACCCAAUGUGCCGAAAGGUGAAAGAUUUAUCGUCUGAAGAUGGGCUCGCGUCUGAUUAGCUAGAUGGUGGGGUAAGAGCCUACCAUGGCAACGAUCAGUAGCUGGUCUGAGAGGAUGAGCAGCCACACUGGGACUGAGACACGGCCCAGACUCCUACGGGAGGCAGCAGUGGGGAAUUUUCCGCAAUGGGCGAAAGCCUGACGGAGCAAUACCGCGUGAGGGAGGAAGGUCCUUGGAUUGUAAACCUCUUUUAUCAGGGAAGAAGUUCUGACGGUACCUGAUGAAUAAGCAUCGGCUAACUCCGUGCCAGCAGCCGCGGUAAUACGGAGGAUGCAAGCGUUAUCCGGAAUUAUUGGGCGUAAAGCGUCCGUAGGUGGUUAUGCAAGUCUGCCGUUAAAGAAUGGAGCUUAACUCCAUAGGAGCGGUGGAAACUGCAAGACUAGAGUACAGUAGGGGUAGCAGGAAUUCCCAGUGUAGCGGUGAAAUGCGUAGAUAUUGGGAAGAACAUCGGUGGCGAAAGCGUGCUACUGGGCUGAAACUGACACUGAGGGACGAAAGCUAGGGUAGCGAAAGGGAUUAGAUACCCCUGUAGUCCUAGCCGUAAACGAUGGAUACUAGGCGUGGCUUGUAUCGACCCGAGCCGUGCCGAAGCUAACGCGUUAAGUAUCCCGCCUGGGGAGUACGCACGCAAGUGUGAAACUCAAAGGAAUUGACGGGGGCCCGCACAAGCGGUGGAGUAUGUGGUUUAAUUCGAUGCAACGCGAAGAACCUUACCAAGGCUUGACAUCCCUGGAAUCCUGCGGAAACGUGGGGGUGCCUUAGGGAGCCAGGAGACAGGUGGUGCAUGGCUGUCGUCAGCUCGUGUCGUGAGAUGUUGGGUUAAGUCCCGCAACGAGCGCAACCCUCGUUUUUAGUUGCCAUCAUUAAGUUGGGCACUCUAGAGAGACUGCCGGUGACAAACCGGAGGAAGGUGGGGAUGACGUCAAGUCAUCAUGCCCCUUACGCCUUGGGCUACACACGUACUACAAUGGUCGGGACAACGGGCAGCAAGCUCGCGAGAGUAAGCGAAUCCCAUCAAACCCGGCCUCAGUUCAGAUUGCAGGCUGCAACUCGCCUGCAUGAAGGAGGAAUCGCUAGUAAUCGCAGGUCAGAAUACUGCGGUGAAUUCGUUCCCGGGCCUUGUACACACCGCCCGUCACACCAUGGGAGCUGGUCACGCCCGAAGUCGUUACUCUAACCGCAAGGAGGAGGGCGCCGAAGGCAGGGCUAGUGACUGGGGUGAAGUCGUAACAAGGUAGCCGUACCGGAAGGUGUGGCUGGAUCACCUCCUUUAAGGGAGACCUUUACCCCUUCAUCUUGAAAGCAAAGUGCAAAUAGAGAGAAGUUGGUCAACCAAAAGGUCGAGCAAGGGAUUAACCGAGAGGUUAAAGAGUAGAAGUCUUUCAAACUAUUGCCUAGGCGAGGUAAAAGGCAAGGGCUAUUAGCUCAGCUGGUUAGAGCGCACCCCUGAUAAGGGUGAGGUCUCUGGUUCAAGUCCAGAAUGGCCCACCUAACCAAGAAAGCCAAAAAAGAGGGAUAAACCCUUCAGCAUCCUGUCUGAUGAGAGUCAGAGGGAAUGCUGGAUGUAAGUCCAGUAAGAACCUUGAAAACUGCAUAAAGAAAAGAGAAAGCAGGGAAAAUCUUGUUCUUUCUAACCAUUCUGAUGUUAACCAUAAUGCUUUUAGCUGAGUGAGAGAUGGAAGAGUGGAAAAGGUAAGAGAAAAGAUAAUCCUAGUUAGCAAAAAGAAGAUC